rnacentral:rRNA from 1 species
GUGGGGAAUUUUGGACAAUGGGCGCAAGCCUGAUCCAGCAAUGCCGCGUGCAGGAAGAAGGCCUUCGGGUUGUAAACUGCUUUUGUACGGAACGAAACGGUCCGGGUUAAUACCCUGGGGUCAUGACGGUACCGUAAGAAUAAGCACCGGCUAACUACGUGCCAGCAGCCGCGGUAAUACGUAGGGUGCGAGCGUUAAUCGGAAUUACUGGGCGUAAAGCGUGCGCAGGCGGUUUUGUAAGACAGAGGUGAAAUCCCCGGGCUCAACCUGGGAACUGCCUUUGUGACUGCAAGGCUAGAGUACGGCAGAGGGGGAUGGAAUUCCGCGUGUAGCAGUGAAAUGCGUAGAUAUGCGGAGGAACACCGAUGGCGAAGGCAAUCCCCUGGGCCUGUACUGACGCUCAUGCACGAAAGCGUGGGGAGCAAACAGGAUUAGAUACCCGGGUAGUCC